rnacentral:rRNA from 1 species
UACGUAGGGGGCAAGCGUUGUCCGGAAUCAUUGGGCGUAAAGAGCGCGUAGGCGGCCCGGUAAGUCCGCUGUGAAAGUCAAAGGCUCAACCUUUGAAUGUCAGCGGAUACUGCCGGGCUAGAGUCCGGAAGAGGCGAGUGGAACUCCUGGUGUAGCGGUGGAAUGCGCAGAUAUCAGGAAGAACACCAACGGCGAAGGCAGCUCGCUGGGACGGAACUGACGCUAAGGCGCGAAAGCGUGGGGAGCGAACAGG